rnacentral:tRNA from 1 species
GGUAUAAUAGCAUAAGUGGUAGAGUGCAUGCCUAGCAAGCAUGAGGUCCUGGGUUCAAUCCCCAGCACUUCCU